rnacentral:rRNA from 1 species
AGAGUUUGAUCAUGGCUCAGGAUGAACGCUAGCUACAGGCUUAACACAUGCAAGUCGAGGGGCAGCAUGUUGGUUGCUUGCAACCAAUGAUGGCGACCGGCGCACGGGUGAGUAACGCGUAUCCAACCUACCCUUGUCCAUCGGAUAACCCGUCGAAAGGCGGCCUAACACGAUAUGCGGUUCUCAGCAGGCAUCUAACGAGAACGAAAUGUGAAGGAGAAGGAUGGGGAUGCGUCUGAUUAGCUUGUUGGCGGGGUAACGGCCACCAAGGCGACGAUCAGGUAGGGGUUCUGGAGAGGAACGGUCCCCACAUUGGAACUGAGACACGGUCCAAACUCCGUACGGGAGGCA